GAUCCUGGCUCAGGAUGAACGCUAGCGACAGGCUUAACACAUGCAAGUCGAGGGGCAGCAUAGAAGUAGCAAUACUUGGUGGCGACCGGCGCACGGGUGAGUAACGCGUAUGCAACCUACCUAUCAGAGGGGAAUAACCCGGCGAAAGUCGGACUAAUACCGCAUAAAACAGGGGCACCGCAUGGUGAUAUUUGUUAAAGAAAUUCGCUGAUAGAUGGGCAUGCGUUCCAUUAGGUAGUUGGUGAGGUAACGGCUCACCAAGCCGACGAUGGAUAGGGGAACUGAGAGGUUGGUCCCCCACACUGGUACUGAGACACGGACCAGACUCCUACGGGAGGCAGCAGUGAGGAAUAUUGGUCAAUGGGCGGGAGCCUGAACCAGCCGAGUCGCGUGAAAGGAAGAAGGAUCUAUGGUUCGUAAACUUCUUUUGCAGGGGAAUAAAGUGCAGGACGUGUCCUGUUUUGUAUGUACCCUGAGAAUAAGGAUCGGCUAACUCCGUGCCAGCAGCGGC
rnacentral:rRNA from 1 species